AGAGUUUGAUCAUGGCUCAGAGUGAACGUUGGCAGUGCGUUUUAAGCAUGCAAGUUGUACGGCAACAGUACUUAUACUUUUCGGAGUAUAAGUAGCUGGCGAGUGGCGGACUGGUGAGUAACGCGUAAGGACCUACCCUAAGGAGAGGGAUAGCCUGUGGAAACACAGGGUAAUACCUCAUAGUCUCUAAUUGAGUAAAGCCUGUAAAGGUGCCUUAGGAUGGACUUGCGUCCUAUCAGCUAGUUGGUGAGGUAAAGGCUCACCAAGGCUAAGACGGGUAGCCGGCCUGAGAGGGUGAUCGGCCACACUGGGACUGAGAUACGGCCCAGACUCCUACGGGAGGCAGCAGCUAAGAAUCUUCCGCAAUGGGGGCAACCCUGACGGAGCGACACUGCGUACGGGAAGAAGGCCUUCGGGUUGUAAACCGUUUUUGCAGGGGCGAAUAAUCGUAAGAGAUGACGGUACCUGGCGAAUAAGUCCCGGCUAACUACGUGCCAGCAGCCGCGGUAAUACGUAGGGGGCGAACGUUACUCGGAAUUACUGGGCGUAAAGGGCCUGUAGGCGGCUAUGCAAGUCAGUUGUAAAAGACUGAUGCUCAACGUCAGGGCUGCGACUGAUACUGCAUAGCUAGAGUACGGGAGGGGGUGAUGGAAUUCCCGGUGUAGGGGUGAAAUCUGUAGAUAUCGGGAAGAAUACCGACGGCGAAGGCAAUCACCUGGCCUGAUACUGACGCUGAGAGGCGAAAGCUAGGGGAGCGAACGGGAUUAGA
rnacentral:rRNA from 1 species